rnacentral:rRNA from 1 species
CAGUCGCCGCGGUAAUACGUAGGGUGCGAGCGUUGUCCGGAAUUAUUGGGCGUAAAGAGCUUGUAGGCGGUCUGUCGCUUCUGCUGUGAAAACCCGAGGCUCAACCUCGGGCCUGCAGUGGGUACGGGCAGACUAGAGUGCGGUAGGGGAGAACGGAACUCCUGGUGUAGCGGUGGAAUGCGCAGAUAUCAGGAAGAACACCGAUGGCGAAGGCAGUUCUCUGGGCCGUAACUGACGCUGAGAAGCGAAAGCGUGGGGAGCGAACAGGAUUAGAUACCCGAGUAGUCCCUGUCUCUUAUAC